CUCUUAUCCAGAGAAGGCUGAGGGACUGGCCCAAUGAAGCCCGGCAACCUAGCGCAAAGGAACACGUUUCUUUUGAGCCAAGGUGCUAACUCCUACAGGUAGCGAUACCUGACAGAUGAGAG
rnacentral:ncRNA from 2 species